GCCGGAAGCGGCGCGCGGCGCAGCGGUCCGGUCGUUAAUGUCGGCGGGCGGUUCCGCGUCGCGUUCGGACGCGGUUGCGGCC
rnacentral:tRNA from 1 species